CUUCAUAUUUUCCAAAAUCCUCCCCUCCCUUCCCUCCAAACUCCCAAACAUACCUUCAAGGAACAAGAAGAGACCGCCUCCCUCUCUUUCAAUUCUCUAUCUCAAUUCUUUCAGUUCUCACGCUAAUAACAGAUAAAAGCUUUCCACCUUCAUCAUGAUAAAACUUCCACAAAAUUGAAAUCAAUUCUUCUCGAGGUUCUGCAAACACAAAGAGCUAACAGUCCAUGAACAAUAAACAAGGAAUGCUCCGUUCGGCUUGUUGGAGGUUCUGCAGAGCGUCGAGGUGGAAAGAAGAUCGGCCGUGUCUUGAUGGCGUGCAUCGUUGGUAGCGGACACGCUGCUUCGUGUGGCCGCGAUGGUGAGAGAUGGUCGGAGGAAGAGUCAGUUCCAAACGGAGUCGCAACAAUAAUUUCGUCAGCGGUUGAAGGCUGAAUCGGAGGUGUCGGCUGUUCGCAAUUGCGUCUUGAAAGAUCUGAUGUUGUUGGCGUGUGGUUAUGCGGCACGGGAAGAGGUUCGCUGUGGCUGUUCUUUGACGCAGAAUUGUCGGCACUGUCACGGACCUGCAAUGGUUGAGUCGUUGUUGUUACAGACGCUUGAUUGGCGGAAAACUCGGUUUUAUCUCCAUCCUCUGUUUCCAUUCUGCAUCUUCUGUUCUGCAGCAACAAUAACAACAAAAAAAAAUUUGGAAUCGAAUUUUUAUUGAGAUUUGAAUACAGAGUGCUAUCACUGUCUUGCUUUGUUGUGAAUUUUGUUUAGAUUUGAAGGGUGAUAAUGUAUUGAUGGCUUCACGUUUGUGUUCUCAUGGUUGAGAAAUUUAUUUUGUCAAAGAAGAUUGCAGAUUUGUGUA